AGUGAACGCUGGCGGUAGGCCUAACACAUGCAAGUCGAACGGCAGCACAGUAAGAGCUUGCUCUUACGGGUGGCGAGUGGCGGACGGGUGAGGAAUACAUCGGAAUCUACUUUUUCGUGGGGGAUAACGUAGGGAAACUUACGCUAAUACCGCAUACGACCUACGGGUGAAAGCAGGGGAUCUUCGGACCUUGCGCGAUUGAAUGAGCCGAUGUCGGAUUAGCUAGUUGGCGGGGUAAAGGCCCACCAAGGCGACGAUCCGUAGCUGGUCUGAGAGGAUGAUCAGCCACACUGGAACUGAGACACGGUCCAGACUCCUACGGGAGGCAGCAGAGGGGAAUAUUGGACAACGGGCGCAAGCCUGAUCCAGCCAUACCGCGUGGGUGAAGAAGGCCUUCGGGUUGUAAAGCCCUUUUGUUGGGAAAGAAAAGCAGCAGGUUAAUACCCCGCUGUUCUGACGGUACCCAAAGAAUAAGCACCGGCUAACUUCGUG
rnacentral:rRNA from 1 species